UACGUAGGGGGCAAGCGUUAUCCGGAUUUACUGGGUGUAAAGGGCGUGUAGGCGGGAAAGCAAGUCAGAUGUGAAAACCAUGGGCUCAACCUGUGGCCUGCAUUUGAAACUAUCGUUCUUGAGUGUUGGAGAGGCAGGCGGAAUUCCUAGUGUAGCGGUGAAAUGCGUAGAUAUUAGGAGGAACACCAGUGGCGAAGGCGGCCUGCUGGACGGUGACUGACGCUGAGGCUCGAAAGCGUGGGGAGCAAACAGG
rnacentral:rRNA from 1 species